GGUGACAGCCCCGUACACAAAAAUGCACAUGCUGUGAGCUCGAUGAGUAGGGCGGGACACGUGGUAUCCUGUCUGAAUAUGGGGGGACCAUCCUCCAAGGCUAAAUACUCCUGACUGACCGAUAGUGAACCAGUACCGUGAGGGAAAGGCGAAAAGAACCCCGGCGAGGGGAGUGAAAAAGAACCUGAAACCGUGUACGUACAAGCAGUGGGAGCACGCUUAGGCGUGUGACUGCGUACCUUUUGUAUAAUGGGUCAGCGACUUAUAUUCUGUAGCAAGGUUAACCGAAUAGGGGAGCCGAAGGGAAACCGAGUCUUAACUGGGCGUUAAGUUGCAGGGUAUAGACCCGAAACCCGGUGAUCUAGCCAUGGGCAGGUUGAAGGUUGGGUAACACUAACUGGAGGACCGAACCGACUAAUGUUGAAAAAUUAGCGGAUGACUUGUGGCUGGGGGUGAAAGGCCAAUCAAACCGGGAGAUAGCUGGUUCUCCCCGAAAGCUAUUUAGGUAGCGCCUCGUGAAUUCAUCUCCGGGGGUAGAGCACUGUUUCGGCAAGGGGGUCAUCCCGACUUACCAACCCGAUGCAAACUGCGAAUACCGGAGAAUGUUAUCACGGGAGACACACGGCGGGUGCUAACGUCCGUCGUGAAGAGGGAAACAACCCAGACCGCCAGCUAAGGUCCCAAAGUCAUGGUUAAGUGGGAAACGAUGUGGGAAGGCCCAGACAGCCAGGAUGUUGGCUUAGAAGCAGCCAUCAUUUAAAGAAAGCGUAAUAGCUCACUGGUCGAGUCGGCCUGCGCGGAAGAUGUAACGGGGCUAAACCAUGCACCGAAGCUGCGGCAGCGACGCUUAUGCGUUGUUGGGUAGGGGAGCGU
rnacentral:rRNA from 1 species